GCCCGCUUGGCGGAACUGGUAGACGCGCUAGCUUCAGGUGCUAGUGGUAGCAAUAUCGUGAGAGUUCAAAUCUCUCAGUGGGCACCA
rnacentral:tRNA from 1 species